CCCUUAGAUGUCCUGGGCUGCACGCGCGCUACACUGAUGCUUUCAUCGAGUAUAUAACCUUACCAGACAUGGUUGGGUAAUCUUUUGAAACAGCAUCGUGAUGGGGAUAGAUUAUUGUAAUUAUUAGUCUUCAACGAGGAAUUCCUAGUAAGCGCGAAUCAUCAGUUCGUGCUGAUUACGUCCCUGCCCUUUGUACACACCGCCCGUCGCUCCUACCGAUUGAGUAAUCCGGUGAAUAAUUCGGACCGAUUGCGAUGUCAGUUCCUGGCGCCGCAGACGGAAAGUCUAGUGAACCUUAUUACUUAGAGGAAGGAGAAGUCGUAACA
rnacentral:rRNA from 1 species